rnacentral:rRNA from 1 species
GAUGAACGCUGGCGGCGUGCCUAAUACAUGCAAGUCGAGCGAACAGAUGAGGAGCUUGCUCCUCUGACGUUAGCGGCGGACGGGUGAGUAACACGUGGAUAACCUACCUAUAAGACUGGGAUAACUUCGGGAAACCGGAGCUAAUACCGGAUAAUAUAUUGAACCGCAUGGUUCAAUAGUGAAAGACGGUUUUGCUGUCACUUAUAGAUGGAUCCGCGCCGCAUUAGCUAGUUGGUAAGGUAACGGCUUACCAAGGCAACGAUGCGUAGCCGACCUGAGAGGAUGAUCGGCCACACUGGAACUGGGACACGGUCCAGACUCCUACGGGAGGCAGCAGUAGGGAAUCUUCCGCAAUGGGCGAAAACCUGACGUAGCAACGCCGCGUGAGUGAUGAAGAUCUUCGGAUCGUAAAACUCUGUUAUUAGGGAAGAACAAAUGUGUAAGUAACUAUGCACGUCUUGACGGUACCUAAUCAGAAAGCCACGGCUAACUACGUG